UACGGAUAGAGCAAGUGUUAUUUAUCGGAACUAGGCAUAAAGGGCCCUCAGGCGGUUUAUAAUAAUUUAUUCAUAAAAUCCUAGGCGUUAUCCCUAGUAUUAUGUCUAAUAAUUAUAAGCUAGAUUAUAUUGGAAGUACUUCAUACUUAUAGUGUAAAGGUGAAAUGUGUUAAAAUUAUAGGGAUGACCUUACAGUGAUUACUUAGUACUAUUAUAUAAUGACGCUAACCGGCGAAAGAUAUUGGCACAAAAGGGAAUUGAUACCCCAGUAGUAAUAUCCGUCAACGAUGAGCGUCCGGUCGAUAUACUAUUGAGUAGUGUCGUCGAAAGUUUAUGCAAAAACGCUCCGCCUAGGAACUACAAACGCAAGUUUGAAACUUAAAGGAAUUGGCGGAAAGAUCUACCAGCUGUGGAUCAUAUGAUUCAAUCCGAUUCACCGCGUCAAAUCUUACCUGUUCUAGCAAGUGUCAUUUUUUUUACUACUACCCGUAGUAUUUUUGUUAAACCUUUAGUAUGUCUAUAUUUACUUUUUUAAUCUUAUGUUUGUCUAAGGUUUUUCUUACAAAUGCUCUUCAGGUGGUGCAUGGCUGUCUUCAAUUCGUGUUUUGAUAUGUUAGGUUAAGUCCUUUUAACGAAUGUAACCCCUCGGCUUAUUUUACUUAGUAGAGGCGUAUCCUCUAUUAUCUUAAGUCUACUAAUAGUUCGUGCUAUAUGAAGGUUGGGAUCAGGUCAAGUCGUUAUGCCCUUUAUGGACAGGGCUAUCCAUAUGAUACAAUGGCAUUUACAAUAAGUCGCUUCGGUUUAUACCUUUAGCUAAUCUGAAAAAUUGCCUAAGUUCGAAUUGUAGUCUGAAACUUGGCUACAUAAAGGUGAAAUAGCUAGUAAUCGCUUAUCAUCAUGAAGCGGUGAAUUUGUCUUUCUUU
rnacentral:rRNA from 1 species